rnacentral:rRNA from 1 species
CUGGAGGUAUCAGAAGUGCGAAUGCUGACAUAAGUAACGAUAAUGCGGGUGAAAAACCCGCACGCCGGAAGACCAAGGGUUCCUGUCCAACGUUAAUCGGGGCAGGGUGAGUCGACCCCUAAGGCGAGGCCGAAAGGCGUAGUCGAUGGGAAACAGGUUAAUAUUCCUGUACUUGGUGUUACUGCGAAGGGGGGACGGAGAAGGCUAGGCUAGCCGGGCGACGGUUGUCCCGGUUUAAGCAUGUAGGCGGAGCGACUUGGUAAAUCCGGUUGCUUAUCAACGCUGAGGUGUGAUGACGAGUCACUACGGUGAUGAAGUAGUUGAUGCCAAGCUUCCAGGAAAAGCCUCUAAGCAUCAGGUAACAUUAAAUCGUACCCCAAACCGACACAGGUGGUCAGGUAGAGAAUACUCAGGCGCUUGAGAGAACUCGGGUGAAGGAACUAGGCAAAAUGGUGCCGUAACUUCGGGAGAAGGCACGCUGGCGUUAGGUAAUGGGACUUGCUCCCGGCGCCGAAGCCAGUCGCAGAUACCAGCUGGCUGCAACUGUUUAAUAAAAACACAGCACUGUGCAAACACGAAAGUGGACGUAUACGGUGUGACGCCUGCCCGGUGCUGGAAGGUUAAUUGAUGGGGUCAGCCGCAAGGCGAAGCUCUUGAUCGAAGCCCCAGUAAACGGCGGCCGUAACUAUAACGGUCCUAAGGUAGCGAAAUUCCUUGUCGGGUAAGUUCCGACCUGCACGAAUGGCGUAAUGAUGGCCAGGCUGUCUCCACCCGAGACUCAGUGAAAUUGAACUCGCUGUGAAGAUGCAGUGUACCCGCGGCAAGACGGAAAGACCCCGUGAACCUUUACUAUAGCUUGACACUGAACAUUGAGCCUUGAUGUGUAGGAUAGGUGGGAGGCAUCGAAGUGUGGACGCCAGUCUGCAUGGAGCCAACCUUGAAAUACCACCCUUUAAUGUUUGAUGUUCUAACUCGGCCCCGUAAUCCGGGGUGAGGACAGUGUCUGGUGGGUAGUUUGACUGGGGCGGUCUCCUCCCAAAGAGUAACGGAGGAGCACGAAGGUUAGCUAAUCACGGUCGGACAUCGUGAGGUUAGUGCAAAGGCAUAAGCUAGCUUGACUGCGAGAGUGACGGCUCGAGCAGGUACGAAAGUAGGUCUUAGUGAUCCGGUGGUUCUGAAUGGAAGGGCCAUCGCUCAACGGAUAAAAGGUACUCCGGGGAUAACAGGCUGAUACCGCCCAAGAGUUCAUAUCGACGGCGGUGUUUGGCACCUCGAUGUCGGCUCAUCACAUCCUGGGGCUGAAGUAGGUCCCAAGGGUAUGGCUGUUCGCCAUUUAAAGUGGUACGCGAGCUGGGUUUAGAACGUCGUGAGACAGUUCGGUCCCUAUCUGCCGUGGGCGUUGGAAGAUUGAGAGGGGCUGCUCCUAGUACGAGAGGACCGGAGUGGACGAAUCACUGGUGUUCGGGUUGUCAUGCCAAUGGCAUUGCCCGGUAGCUAAAUUCGGAAGAGAUAACCGCUGAAAGCAUCUAAGCGGGAAACUUGCCUCGAGAUGAGUCUUCCCUGGGGCUUUAAGCCCCCUGAAGGAACGUUAAAGACUAUGACGUUGAUAGGCUGGGUGUGUAAGUGCAGCGAUGCAUUGAGCUAACCAGUACUAAUGAUCCGUGAGGCUUAACCUU